AAGGUUACCACCGAGACGCCGAGUCCUCAGCUGGUCGUAGACCUGCGUGGCGUCGGGGCCGUGGCACGGUCGGGUCCGGGGUCCUGGAUCCCAUUUGUAACUGGCACCCUAAUGAAACCGUUUUCUGUAGCCCUGGAAAUGGCUGAAACUGAGGGGAGGGAAAUAAAGUGCUAUAAUUCAGAGCAUGGAGCACACCUUCCUGGUUCACCUGAGCUGGCUUAGGAGAGGUAAGAUGGCCAUUACCUCGUCUAAGCUGCCACUUACAGACACAGUACAGGAUGAGGCCCAGGCCCACAGAGACAAUGAUGAUGGCCACAGCUAAGAUGAUCCAGAAAUUAUUCCUCCACCAACUCAUUGCAGUGGAAUCCUGAGAAGAAUGGAGAGAGAAGAAUGAGGCAUGAAUGAAAGACAUCCUGGGGUUGGGUGGAGGGGGGCAGUUAUCUACUGUGGGUUUGUUUUUUUUGAGUCGGAGUCUCACUCUGUCGCCCAGGCUGGAGUGCAAUGACGUGAUCUCAGCUCUCAGCUCACUGCAACCUCCACCUCCCG
rnacentral:antisense_RNA from 1 species